GAUGAACGCUGGCGGCGUGCCUAAUACAUGCAAGUCGAGCGAACGGACGAGAAGCUUGCUUCUCUGAUGUUAGCGGCGGACGGGUGAGUAACACGUGGAUAACCUACCUAUAAGACUGGGAUAACUUCGGGAAACCGGAGCUAAUACCGGAUAAUAUUUUGAACCGCAUGGUUCAAAAUUGAAAGACGGUCUUGCUGUCACUUAUAGAUGGAUCCGCGCUGCAUUAGCUAGUUGGGAAGGUAACGGCCUACCAAGGGAACCGUGCCAAGCCGGCCGGGAAGGGGUGUCGGCCACACUGGGACUAGACAACGGUCCAAAACCCCAGGGGGGGCACCAGUGGGGAAACUUCCGCAAUGGGCGAAAGCCUAACGGGACAAGGCCCGGGAGGGGAUGAAGGUCUUCGGAUCGUAAAACUCUGUUAUUAGGGAAGAACAUAUGUGUAAGUAACUGUGCACAUCUUGACGGUACCUACUCAGAAAGCCACGGCUAACUACGUG
rnacentral:rRNA from 1 species